AGCAGAGGACUGAAAAUCCUCGUGUCACC
rnacentral:tRNA from 5 species